rnacentral:rRNA from 1 species
AUCGAUGAAGAACGCAGCGAAAUGCGAUAAGUAAUGUGAAUUGCAGAAUUCAGUGAAUCAUCGAAUCUUUGAACGCACCUUGCGCCCUUUGGUAUUCCGAAGGGCAUGCCUGUUUGAGUGUCAUUAAAUUCUCAACCUUGCAAGCUUUUUUGCUAGUGAGGCUUGGAUGUGAGGGCUUUUGCUGGCUUCCAUUCAGUUGGAUGGUCUGCUCCCUUUAAAUUCAUUAGUGGAUUCCUUUGUGGAUGGUCACUUGGUGUGAUAAUUAUCUACGCCGCCUGACUCUGAAACAAGACUUGUGGGGACCCGCUCAUAACUGUCUCUUCAAGAGACAAUCUAUAUUGACAAUUUGACCUCAAAUCAGGUAGGACUACCCGCUGAACUUAAGCAUAUCAAUAAGCGGAGGAAAAGAAACUAACAAGGAUUCCCCUAGUAACUGCGAGUGAAGCGGGAAAAGCUCAAAUUUAAAAUCUGGCGGUUUCACCGUCCGAGUCGUAAUUUAGAGAAGUGUUAUCCGCGCUGGACCGUGUACAAGUCUCCUGGAAUGGAGCGUCAUAGAGGGUGAGAAUCCCGUCUUUGACACGGACUACCAGGGCAUUGUGAUACGCUCUCAAAGAGUCGAGUUGUUUGGGAUUGCAGCUCAAAAUGGGUGGUAAAUUCCAUCUAAAGCUAAAUAUUGGGGAGAGACCGAUAGCGAACAAGUACCGUGAGGGAAAGAUGAAAAGAACUUUGGAAAGAGAGUUAAACAGUACGUGAAAUUGCUGAAAGGGAAACGCUUGAAGUCAGUCGCGUCGUUCAGGAUUCAGCUUUAGCUUCUGCUUUGUGCAUUUCCUGUUUGACGGGUCAGCAUCAGUUUUGGCCGGUGGAUAAAGGUUCAGAGAAUGUGGCAUCCUCGGAUGUGUUAUAGCUCUGGGUCGCAUACAUCGGCUGGGACUGAGGAACUCAGCACGCCGAAAGGCCAGGUUUCGACCAUGUUCGUGCUUAGGAUGCUGGCAUAAUGGCUUUAAUCGACCCGUCUUGAAACACGG